rnacentral:rRNA from 1 species
AGUGAACGCUGGCGGUAGGCCUAACACAUGCAAGUCGAACGGCAGCACAGUAAGAGCUUGCUCUUACGGGUGGCGAGUGGCGGACGGGUGAGGAAUACAUCGGAAUCUACUUUUUCGUGGGGGAUAACGUAGGGAAACUUACGCUAAUACCGCAUACGACCUACGGGUGAAAGCAGGGGAUCUUCGGACUUUGCGCGAUUGAAUGAGCCGAUGUCGGAUUAGCUAGUUGGCGGGGUAAAGGCCCACCAAGGCGACGAUCCGUAGCCGGUCUGAGAGGAUGAUCAGCCACACUGGAACUGAGACACGGUCCAGACUCCUACGGGAGGCAGCAGUGGGGAAUAUUGGACAAUGGGCGCAAGCCUGAUCCAGCCAUACCGCGUGGGUGAAGAAGGCCUUCGGGUUGUAAAGCCCUUUUGUUGGGAAAGAAAAGCAGCAGGUUAAUACCCCGCUGUUCUGACGGUACCCAAAGAAUAAGCACCGGCUAACUUCGUG